UCUCUCUCUCUCUCUCUCUAAAAAGAAAGAAGCCUACUUCCAAUAACUACCUCCCUCCCUCAAUCCAAGCACAUUACAAGAAAGCAUAAAAACCAACAGAGUAUUAAGUAAUCAACGGCUCAUUGUUCACACAAAUCAUUUAUACUUACCUAGAGUUCCACUAUUAAAUCAAAUUCAGGGAAAGAAAAGACAAGGAAAGUAAAAAUUGUUGAUAAAUUCCACAUUUAGCAAGUGCACACUUACACGAAAAGAAGAAGAAUUUUUAACAGAUAAUGUGAUCAAUGCAUGAAUGUAUAGAACAUGGUAUACAAUAAGAAAAUCCAGAAUAAAGCUUUAACAGUAGUUCUUGAACUAACAUGAUAUUCUAAGAACUAGGAAAACUCAAAAAUUAGAAAUCUCACAACCAACCUGAGGAACCCAU
rnacentral:misc_RNA from 1 species